CUCUUAUCAUCUCUAUAAUCAUAAUAUUUGAGAAAAGUAUAUGGAUUAUUUCCUUGAGAUUGACAAUGAUUUCCUAGAAUUUCGAUUAUUUCAAGUCUUAAACUCAAAACUAAUUAUUUUUUUAAUACGUCCAAAGCAUUGAUAAUCUACACGAGUAUAUAAACUGAAACAUUUGCUGAAAUUCCAUUUCACUUAGUAAGCGUAGAGAUUAAACAUAUUAAAUAUGGCGGACGAAAAUCAGCGUAAAAGUCUUGUUCUUGAAGACAAUCCUACAUCAGAAACAUCAUCUGAGAAACAAAUUGGGACUGAUUUAACUGAUAGAAUAGAUGGUGAAGAAAAUAGCCAGGAUAAUUCAAAACUGGAAGGAUCUGAAGAAAAGGCAACGAGUGAUGAUGAUGAAAAGCAUGAAGAAGGGAACUUGCUUAAAUCCAGAGGAGUCAGAGGGAUUAUAGGCGCACCGGAAUUGGUAUUUGAUUAGGAUCGUUAUUUAUCUGAGUUAUAAUAUAUUAUUAUAAUAAUAUAGUGAUACUGAUAAAAAUAAAAAUUGAUUGAACCCAAA